rnacentral:lncRNA from 1 species
GAGAAGAACCACAGUAGAGAGCAGCUCGGAGAAGGAGAAAGUGACAGAGCACUGGGCGGCCUGUGAGUCCCCUUAACGGGGUCUGUUUUCGUCAUGCCGUGAGAGGAACAUCAGAAGCCAUACUCAGCUCAUUAGCGGAGGAGGAGGGAGAGGUUUCCACCGGAGGACAUCCCUGUCAGUGGUGCUGAGCACAAAGCAAGGUAAAGAGGGAUGGAGGGCAGACACACAGAGGAAC